rnacentral:rRNA from 1 species
AUGAACGCUGGCGGCGUGCCUAUUCCAUCCAAGUCGGGCGAACAGACGAGGAGCUUGCUCCUCUGCCGUUAGCGGCGGCCGGGGAGGUAACACUUGGAUAACCUACCUAUAAAACUGGGAUAACUUCGGGAAACCGGGGCUAAUACCGGAUAAUAUAUUGAACCGCAGGGUUCAAUAGUGAAAAACGGUUUUGCUGUCACUUAUAGAUGGAUCCGCGCCGCAUUAGCUAGUUGGUAAGGUAACGGCUUACCAAGGCGACGAUGCGUAGCCGACCUGAGAGGGUGAUCGGCCACACUGGAACUGAGACACGGUCCAGACUCCUACGGGAGGCAGCAGUAGGGAAUCUUCCGCAAUGGGCGAAAGCUUGACGGAGCAACGCCGCGUGAGUGAUGAAGGUCUUCGGAUCGUAAAACUCUGUUAUUAGGGAAGAACAAAUGUGUAAGUAACUAUGCACGUCUUGACGGUACCUAAUCAGAAAGCCACGGCUAACUACGUG